rnacentral:rRNA from 1 species
CUACGGGGGGCAGCAGUGGGGAAUAUUGCACAAUGGAGGAAACUCUGAUGCAGCAACGCCGCGUGGAGGAUGACACAUUUCGGUGCGUAAACUCCUUUUAUAUAGGAAGAUAAUGACGGUACUAUAUGAAUAAGCGCCGGCUAACUCCGUGCCAGCAGCCGCGGUAAUACGGAGGGCGCAAGCGUUACUCGGAAUCACUGGGCGUAAAGAGCGUGUAGGCGGAUAGAUAAGUCAGGAGUGAAAUCCUAUGGCUCAACCAUAGAACUGCUCUUGAAACUGUCUAUCUAGAGUGUGGGAGAGGUAGAUGGAAUUUCUGGUGUAGGGGUAAAAUCCGUAGAGAUCAGAAGGAAUACCGAUUGCGAAGGCGAUCUACUGGAACAUAACUGACGCUGAGACGCGAAAGCGUGGGGAGCAAACAGGAUUAGAUACCCCAGUAGUC